AUUGAACGCUGGCGGCAGGCCUAACACAUGCAAGUCGAGCGAGCGGCGGACGGGUGUGUAAAGUCUGGGAAACUGCCUGAUGGAGGGGGAUAACUACUGGAAACGGUAGCUAAUACCGCAUACCAUCAGAUGUGCCCAGAUGGGAUUAGCUAGUAGGUGGGGUAAUGGCUCACCUAGGCGACGAUCCCUAGCUGGUCUGAGAGGAUGACCAGCCAGGAUGUGACGGAGGCACGGUCCAGACUCUUACGGGAGUCAGCGGUGGGGAAUAUGGCACAAUGGGCGCAAUCCUGAUGCAGCCAUGCCGCGUGUGGGAAGAAGGCCUGCGGGUUUUAAAGCACUUUCAGCGGUGAGGCGUUACCCGCAGAAGAAGCACCGGCUAACUCCGUGCCAGCAGCCGCGGUAAUAC
rnacentral:rRNA from 1 species